rnacentral:misc_RNA from 1 species
GUAAGUAGUUUAAUGCCUAGUUUGUUCAGCGAUUAUGGGAAUGAAUUUCACAAUCCUGCAUCUUUUUAUCUUGGGAAUUUGAAAUUCUUGAAUUCGCGCUAUAUAUAUGUCUGUGCUAGGAAACUUGUGAUUCUUUGAACCUGAUAUCCUGGAUUUGCACAUUUCUUUUGGUUUGUUCGACAACGUUUGCUUUCUCACGUUUAAUUAUUUCCGUAGGCAUAAUUUUACUUAAAUGGGACCUAAAAAAAACUACCUUUCUCUGUUUCUCGUUUCUUUUAUCUUCAUUGUCUUAGUACUUUCUUCAAUUGAGAGGAAGGAACUCUGAAACUCAGAUUUUGUACCAAAUGAAAGAUAGAGGUUCUUGUCAGGUUCUUUAGUUGUAUUUGAAUUGUAUAAGGAUUUGUACCAUUUUCCAGAGGCCAUGUGCAACCUUGCUGGUUUCCUUUAAGCUAGCCAGUGUAGAUGCAUGACAUUUCAGUUUCACCAAAUUUAUGGAAUAGAUAGCUUAAAGCCUGGACAUGAGUAGCUUUAUGAGAAGGCCUCAUAAGGUUCGCUUAGUGGCAAUUACCCAGUGGUGAAUGAUCAGUAAAUUUAUUUUUGAUAAAGGUUUCUAAUUAUUGUAAUUUUCAGGUAUUACAACAAUGCUUACUAUGCUAAAGUCGGAGGAAUCAGCACAGUAGAGAUGAACUAUCUUGAAGUGGAUUUUCUAUUUGGAUUGGGGUUUAACCUGAAUGUGACCCCCAACACCUUCCACUCAUACUUUUCCUCCCUCCAAAGGGAGAUGAUGCUUCAACCUGUACCACCAAGCUUAGCAGAAUCUUCACUGAACUUAGGGAGAUCUCUAAAGGUCCACUUGUGUUUCAACGAGGAUGAGACAUCCCAUCAAAAGCAGCAAGUUGCUGUUUAAGCCUUUUCAAUAUAAGCAUUAAAUGUAGUUAGCCAUAGAGAUAGUGACUCUUCCUCCUCCUCUAGUCUCCUUUUUUUAUUUUCUUAGUUUGGGAUUGGCAAAAGCUCUGUAAUUUUUCUUUCUUGUCUAGGUUUUUGGAUUAUUCAAAUUAUUUGGUAAUGUACAGAUGGGAUUAUCUGCUUUACAGUGUGGCUAAUCAAAAUGAUUCUCUCCUAUAAAUUUGGGUUGACACAGUUGUACAAAAGUUCUCUCGCUCUCUCUGGACGCUAUGGCUGAUACUUGUUCCUAUCCAUGUUAGGAUUCUAAACUUUUGGGUUGCCACUUAAAAGGGGAGAGGUGGCAAAGUAUUGUUAAAAGGAGAAGAAUAGAAGCGUGAAGGUUAAAAUGGGUAAGAGAAGCAGACAAGAAUAAUGUUGCUGUCAAAUAAUAUGCCAAGGGACAGUUGUAAUGACUGUUGAAAGGGGACAUUCAACAUGUGCAAUCUUGGAUAACUUUGUGACCCUUUUCCUAAUGUCUAUUUUCUUUUUCUUUUUUUUGUCAAAAUAAGAAAAAUUUUGAUUCAGAAUGUUGAGGAUUAGGGCUUGUUUCUUUCUUCACCUAAACAAAAGGUCAAA